CUCACGCAGCCCGACUUGAACGGAAAUCCUUUUUUUGCUUGGGCAUUAGCGUUGGCUAAAAAGAUUGGGAGUGGAAGGCGGAAAAGCUG
rnacentral:sRNA from 1 species